ACGGGAGGCAGCAGUGGGGAAUAUUGGGCAAUGGGCGCAAGCCUGACCCAGCAAUGCCGCGUGAAGGAAGAAGGCUUUCGGGUUGUAAACUUCUUUUAAGUGGGACGAUAAUGACGGUACCACUUGAAUAAGCUCCGGCUAACUACGUGCCAGCAGCCGCGGUAAUACGUAGGGAGCAAGCGUUGUCCGGAUUUACUGGGUGUAAAGGGCGUGUAGGCGGGACAGCAAGUCAGAUGUGAAAGCACGGGGCUCAACUUCGUGUCUGCAUUUGAAACUGCUGUUCUUGAGUGCUGGAGAGGCUAACGGAACUCCUAGUGUAGCGGUGAAAUGCGUAGAUAUUAGGAGGAACACCAGUGGCGAAGGCGGCUUACUGGACGAUAACUGACGUUGAGGCUCGAAAGCGUGGGGAGCAAACAGGAUUAGAUACCCUGGUA
rnacentral:rRNA from 1 species